CUGGAUAGUGUGAUUGGUUGGGGGGUGGAUUGGUCAAACAAACCCAGGACUUUCACCCAGGAGACUGGGGUUCAUGUCCUGUUUGAAAAGAAAAGGAAACUGA